CCUACGUGAGGCAGCAGUGGGGAAUAUUGCGCAAUGGGCGAAAGCCUGACGCAGCGACGCCGCGUGAGGGAUGAAGGUCUUCGGAUCGGUAACCUCUGUCAGCAGGGAAGAACGGUCACUGUGCUAAUCAGCAGUGAAUUGACGGUACCAGCAAAGGAAGCACCGGCUAACGCCGUGCCAGCAGCCGCGGUAAUACGUAGGGUGCGAGCGUUAAUCGGAAUUACUGGGCGUAAAGCGCUCGUAGGCGGUAUGUCAAGUCAAGGGUGAAAUCCCCGCGCUCAACGUGGGAACUGCCGUUGAAACUGGCAAACUUGAGUGUGUGAGAGGAUAGUGGAAUUCGAGGUGUAGGAGUGAAAUGCGUAGAUAUCUGGAGGAACAUCAGUGGCGAAGGCGACUAUCUGGCACAUAACUGACGCUGAGGAGCGAAAGCGUGGGUAGCAAACAGGAUUAGAUACCCGAGUAGUC
rnacentral:rRNA from 1 species